UACGUAGGGUGCGAGCGUUAAUCGGAAUUACUGGGCGUAAAGCGUGCGCAGGCGGUUAUGUAAGACAGAUGUGAAAUGCCCGGGCUUAACCUGGGAACUGCAUUUGUGACUGCAUGGCUAGAGUGUGUCAGAGGGGGGUAGAAUUCCACGUGUAGCAGUGAAAUGCGUAGAUAUGUGGAGGAAUACCGAUGGCGAAGGCAGCCCCCUGGGAUAACACUGACGCUCAUGCACGAAAGCGUGGGGAGCAAACAGG
rnacentral:rRNA from 1 species